rnacentral:rRNA from 1 species
GGUCUCGAGCGGCGAACGGGUGAGUAACACGUGAGUAAUCUGCCCUUGGCUUUGGGAUAGCCACCGGAAACGGUGAUUAAUACCGGAUACGACCACUUCUCGCAUGGGAUGGUGGUGGAAAGUUUUUCGGCCAGGGAUGUGCUCGCGGCCUAUCAGCUUGAUGGUGAGGUAAUGGCUCACCAUGGCUUCGACGGGUAGCCGGCCUGAGAGGGUGACCGGUCACACUGGGACUGAGACACGGCCCAGACUCCUACGGGAGGCAGCAGUGGGGAAUAUUGGACAAUGGGCGGAAGCCUGAUCCAGCAACGCCGCGUGAGGGAUGACGGCCUUCGGGUUGUAAACCUCUUUCAGCAGGGACGAAGCGCAAGUGACGGUACCUGCAGAAGAAGCACCGGCCAACUACGUGCCAGCAGCCGCGGUAAUACGUAGGGUGCGAGCGUUGUCCGGAAUUAUUGGGCGUAAAGGGCUCGUAGGCGGUUUGUCGCGUCGGGAGUGAAAACCAGGUGCUUAACACCUGGCUUGCUUUCGAUACGGGCAGACUAGAGGUAUUCAGGGGAGAACGGAAUUCCUGGUGUAGCGGUGAAAUGCGCAGAUAUCAGGAGGAACACCGGUGGCGAAGGCGGUUCUCUGGGAAUAUCCUGACGCUGAGGAGCGAAAGUGUGGGGAGCGAACAGGAUUAGAUACCCUGGUAGUCCACACCGUAAACGUUGGGCGCUAGGUGUGGGGUCCAUUCCACGGAUUCCGUGCCGCAGCUAACGCAUUAAGCGCCCCGCCUGGGGAGUAC